GAUGAACGCUGGCGGCGUGCCUAAUACAUGCAAGUAGAACGCUGAAGGAAGGAGCUUGCUCUUUCCGGAUGAGUUGCGAACGGGUGAGUAACGCGUAGGUAACCUGCCUGGUAGCGGGGGAUAACUAUUGGAAACGAUAGCUAAUACCGCAUAACAGUAGAUGUUGCAUGAUAUCUACUUAAAAGGUGCAAUUGCACCACUACCAGAUGGACCUGCGUUGUAUUAGCUAGUUGGUGAGGUAACGGCUCACCAAGGCGACGAUACAUAGCCGACCUGAGAGGGUGAUCGGCCACACUGGGACUGAGACACGGCCCAGACUCCUACGGGAGGCAGCAGUAGGGAAUCUUCGGCAAUGGACGGAAGUCUGACCGAGCAACGCCGCGUGAGUGAAGAAGGUGUUCGGAUCGUAAAGCUCUGUUGUAGGAGAAGAACGAGUGUGAGAGUGGAAAGUUCACACUGGGACGGUAUCUUACCAGAAAGGGACGGCUAACUACGG
rnacentral:rRNA from 1 species